GGGCCCGUAGCGCAGCUGGGAGCGCAUCACAAUGGCAUUGUGGGGGUCGAGGGUUCGAAUCCCUCCGGGUCCA
rnacentral:tRNA from 1 species